CUCCGCUCCGCUCCUCUCCCCAGCCUGAAUAAGCAUCGGGGCUCUGGCUGCCUCCUUCUGCCUUCAUACCAGAGCCCGGAGAGGCCCCUGUCAAAAUAAGAGCUCCACCAUCUCGCUCGCCUUCUCGCCCAGGCCGGCUCCCCCAAGCCUCCCAGUGGUCUGACUCGGCUGAGCUGGAAAGGAUGGAAGGUGGGGAAGAGGAGAAACACUAACCAUGUCCUAAACUAUGCCGGGAUCGAAGAAGAACUUUGACUAGAGGCCUCCUUAAUCUAUUCCCCCAAAAGCAACCUCCCUCAACUUGCUGUGAAGCCAAGAAGGGGGCAGUGAUCCUCAAGGAGACAGAACCUAGCAAAAGAUGCAAGCGGGGGUGAUAUUUAAGCACAGAAGAUUCUGCUGGGGUCACACGGACUUAUCUCUGCCCACUACCACCAUGGGCAUCACUACUUACCCAACCUUAUUUUCACAAACUGUCCGAUCCAGCCUACACUCAGAGUGUUAAUCUGUAUGGCAGUUCACUGUCUCCAGCACAUUAUGCUCACUCUUGACUGCUGUGUACCAGGCUUGCCUCCCUCCCAACCCCCAAUCUCCUUCAAGGCCCACUUCAAAUUCUGCUUCCCCCAUGAAGCUUUCCCAGACUUCCGCAAUUCUCACCGAUCUCCCUCUUUAAAAUCCCAACAGCUCCAAAAGUCAGUAUCACUCAACUCCACACUUAAUUUUAUAAUAUUCUGUACCAUCCUUUCAAGUCUUGGCCUUGUCUCCUCAUGUAGAAGAUAAGUUACCUGAGGGCAAUAAAGGUGCCUCACACUU